GGAGGACCUGCCAAAGAGAGAAAGAAAAAAUAUGAGACAAGCACACUUGUGAGCAUAAAAAAAGAAGAGGAGUGUUACUCUAGAGGAUCUGAAUGGUGUCACUGCGAUUCCAGAUGAUGAUCGCCGGACUGCUGCGUUGAAAUGGGAGCUUGUGCUUCGUGUACGUACCAUCUUGUAAGUCAUAGUAGAAUACAGAUUCCUCUGUCGGUUUGGUAAAAAAAUAGUGCUCCACCAGGUUGAAGACGAGUCGUCCGUCAGAGAUAGACCCCUCAAAAGAUACAGUAUGGUUCACGAGUGGAUCUUGGUCGAAAAUCUCUGUGGAGACGCUCAUGGGUAUCCAGUCA
rnacentral:lncRNA from 1 species